rnacentral:rRNA from 1 species
AUGGCUCAGGAUGAACGCUAGCGGCAGGCUUAACACAUGCAAGUCGAGGGGCAUCGGGAGUAGCAAUACUUGCCGGCGACCGGCGCAAGGGUGCGUAACGCGUGAGCAACAUGCCCGUAUCAGGGGGAUAAUCCAUGGAAACGUGGUCUAAUACCCCAUAGUAAUUAUGUAAGGCAUCUUAUAUAAUUUAAAGCUUUGGUGGAUACGGAUUGGCUCGCGUGACAUUAGCUAGAUGGUAAGGUAACGGCUUACCAUGGCUACGAUGUCUAGGGGUUCUGAGAGGAAGGUCCCCCACACUGGAACUGAGACACGGUCCAGACUCCUACGGGAGGCAGCAGUGAGGAAUAUUGGACAAUGGAUGGAAAUCUGAUCCAGCCAUGCCGCGUGCAAGGAGGACGGCCCUAUGGGUUGUAAACUGCUUUUGUAUGGGAGCAAUAAGGGCUACGUGUAGUCCGAUGAGAGUACCAUACGAAUAAGCACCGGCUAACUCCGUGCCAGCCGCAGC